rnacentral:snRNA from 2 species
UUGCUUUGGCAGCAUAUAUACUAAAAUUGGAAUGAUACAGAGAAGAUUAGCAUGGCCCCUGCUCAAUGACACACAAAUUCGUGAAGCAUUCCUAUUUUUC